CCGAGUCUUCAUUUGCAUAUAGGCCCUAUAAGUAGCUCACAACCAACUCGGUUGUAGUCGCGGUUGGUUCAAUUCGUGAGUGGUUUCUCCUUCCGAAGAUGCCGGAUCCAGCGAAGUCCGCUCCUGUUCCCAAGAAGGGGUCCAAGAAAGCUGUGACGAAAGUGCAGAAGAAGGAUGGGAAGAAGCGCAAGCGCAGCCGCAAGGAGAGCUACUCCGUUUACGUGUACAAAGUGCUGAAACAAGUUCACCCGGACACCGGCAUCUCGUCCAAGGCCAUGGGCAUCAUGAACUCCUUCGUCAACGACAUCUUCGAGCGCAUCGCUGGCGAGGCCUCCCGCCUGGCGCAUUACAACAAGCGCUCGACCAUCACCUCCCGGGAGAUCCAGACGGCUGUGCGCCUGCUGCUGCCCGGCGAGCUGGCCAAGCACGCGGUGUCUGAAGGCACCAAGGCCGUCACCAAGUACACCAGCUCCAAGUAAGGGCGCCCAGGAAACGCGAUAGAACAACCACUUUACCCCAAAGGCUCUUUUCAGAGCCACUUCAGGUGUUGGAGAAGCAGCUGUAAGCACUUGUUGCGAGGUAAGCUCGCUGGGUCUCACUCGUGUGUAUGGACGGAAAGGUCUACUCUCCACUGUUUUAGUUG